CGUCGAUCGAUAGCUACAUUAUUAGCGAGAUAGUAUGUCACAAGAAAUUUUCGAGGGCUGAAAUUUAAACAGGAUUCAAACUUUAUUCUUUUAAUUAUCAGGUUCUUGUAAAAAAAUUAUAACUUUUUCUUAAAGUUCAGAUUUUUUUCCUCAGGGAAAAUACAAUCAUCCUGUAUUUUUUACAUGUUCAAUAGAUUUUUUUUCACAUAAAAUUCAGAUUCCCCCCUCUCAAGAAAA